rnacentral:rRNA from 1 species
UUGACCUCGAAUCAGGUAGGAAUACCCGCUGAACUUAAGCAUAUCAAUAAGCGGAGGAAAAGAAACCAACCGGGAUUACCUCAGUAACGGCGAGUGAAGCGGUAACAGCUCAAAUUUGAAAUCUGGCUCUUGCGGAGUCCGAGUUGUAAUUUGUAGAAGAUGCUUUGGGUUGUGGGUUCGGCCUAAGUUCCUUGGAACAGGACGUCAUAGAGGGUGAGAAUCCCGUAUGUGGCCGAGGCCCGCGCCUAUGUAAAGCUCUUUCAACGAGUCGAGUUGUUUGGGAAUGCAGCUCAAAAUGGGUGGUAAAUUUCAUCUAAAGCUAAAUAUGGGCCAGAGACCGAUAGCGCACAAGUAGAGUGAUCGAAAGAUGAAAAGCACUUUGGAAAGAGAGUUAAACAGUACGUGAAAUUGUUGAAAGGGAAGCGCUUGCAACCAGACUUGGGCGCUGCCGAUCACCUUGAGUUUUCUCGAGUGCACUCGACAGCGCACAGGCCAGCAUCGGUUCGGGUGGCUGGAUAAAGGCCGUAGGAAUGUGGCUCUCUUCGGGGAGUGUUAUAGCCUACGGUGCCAUGCAGCCCAGCCGGACCGAGGACCGCGCCUUCGGGCUAGGAUGCUGGCGUAAUGGUUGUAAGCGACCCGUCUUGAAACACGGACCAAGGAGUCUAACAUCUAUGCGAGUGUUUGGGUGGUAAACCCAUACGCGGAAUGAAAGUGAACGUAGGUGAGAACCCCUUUGGGGCGCAUCAUCGACCGAUC